rnacentral:lncRNA from 1 species
AUGCAUUGCUGCAUAUCAUCUUCUUCUUCACCACUUGUUUUAGGCAGCCAUGGAAAUGGAGAAACCAACCCUGCAAGUCUUGGCCAGCAGCUGCAAAUAAUUUGGUUAGUAAUCUCCUUGUUUGGUGUGUUAAUUAUUUAGAAUACCUUUGUUAAUUAUCCAUUAAUUUUAAGAAGGGGGCUUUACCAGUAGCUUAGGAAGUUUGUUUUAGUUAUUGAAUGGACUAAUUAUGAACGGAAACCAUAAUCGGAUUAUUAGUGGUGUCGUGUUGGUGCUUGGGCUGUUUUGAUUAAAGCAAACUGCGGGAAAAUUCUGUUUUGGCAUUAUGUAUAUGUAAAAUGUGAUUAUGAGUAUAUACUCCAAAGGAUGAAUACGAUAAGGUAGAUGUGUUGUGUUAUGCCUCGUAUUUUUUUAUACGUAGUGCGCAUCGUGAUCUAGUGGACGUAAGUCCGAGGAAUGAGAUUUUAUUUUAAGUUCCAAGUGAUUAAAGAAAUAUUAGGAAAGGAUGUUAUUUCCAAAUGUGAUAUUAAGUAUGAGUUGGCUAAUGUAAGUGCCAUUAUCUUUAAGUGAGGGAUUAAUUAGUGGCUAAUUUGGAUUAAUUUAAUCCAAUGGGCCCCACCACUCAUAAUUGGUGGCUGAUUAAUAUUUAAUCCAGUGGGCCCCACCACUCAAGGCAAAAAUUAAAAAGGAAUCAGAUUGUGGGCUGGCCUUAGUGGACAGGUGUAGAGGGGGGCUGCCUCCACUUCAUACUAUUAAAUGAGGUGGAGAAAUCCACUCCAUGCUAAAUAAAGUGGUGAAAUGCAUUGCUGCAUAUCAUCUUCUUCUUCACCACUUGUCUUAGGCAGCCAUGGAAAUGGAGAAACCAACCCUGCAACUCUUGGCCAGCAGCUGCAAAUAAUUUGGUUAGUAAUCUCCUUGUUUGGUGUGUUAAUUCUUUAGAAUACCCUUGUUAAUUAUCCAUUAAUUUUAAGAAGGGGGCAUGACCAGUAGCUUAGGAAGUUUGUUUUAGUUAUUGAAUGUGCUAAGUAUGAAUGGAAACCAUAAUCGGAUUAUUAGUGGUGUCGUGUUGCUGCUUGGGCUGUUUUGAUUAAAACAAACUGCAGGAAAAUUCUGUUUUGGCAUUAUGUAUAUGUUGAAUGUGAUUAUGUGUAUAUAAUCCAUAGGAUGAAUACAAUAAGGUAGAUGUGUUGCGAAUUAUAAAACGAAUUAUCGCUCGGUGUGUCAUUGCUUCGCUGCUAUGGUUGCCGAGACGGAACUGUUUUGGGGAGGGGGCUGUUUAAUAUGAUUCUUUGGGUUAUAUGUGUUAUUGGUAUUGCUGUGGAUAAUUUGGAUUGUUGUCGGAUUGGGACGAACUAAGGAAAAUAGGGGAGGUGUUGCCGAAUUUUCGUUAGAUUAUUAGCUAGCUUACAAGAAAGUAAAGCACGAUGUUUAUCUAAUUGCGGCACGAUUGUUGCUUGUUAUAGAUUAAUAGCUUGAGCAGUAAAUAUUGGACGUGCGGCUCGAUUAUACGGUAUGUAACGCUGUCCCUUCUUUCUUUGUUUGGCAUGACUUUUAAAAAUAAGCGAAUAAAGGACAGGUUUGAUACUUACCUCUAAAGCGUCUAGGUGACGUAUAUUCUUGCUUCCACAAUUAUUCCUCUAUAUAUUGACUAUGUCUAAGGCUAUGAUGAUCUCUAAUAUCUAUGGUAGUGCUUCUUAGAGUCAUUGAGAUUUUAUGUUUCCAUAUCGUAUUAAAGGUUCAUAAUCUUGAUAAAACAUUAAUCUUUGGUAAUACUCCUUGCUGGUUCACGUUGAUUGUUCUAUUGAGUUAUAAGAAAUGAUUUUAAUUGCAUAUGGUUGCUCAUAAUAUUCUGCUCGUGCAUAGAGUCAUUUAUCAUUUCACCGAGUCCCGGGCCGGGUAAUGUUCGUGCGGAGUUUCUUGCAUAUGUCACCGAGUUCCUCACUAGAGGGCCGGGUAUGUAUAUUAUAUAUAUGAUUGGUGAUGAGGAUGGUUAUGAUGAUGAUGAUGACGGAGAUGACGUGAUGAUUAUUUUGCUGAGCCUCUUACUAGGGAAGCUGGGCACCUUAAAUGUUAAAUAUAUGCAUGAUUUUCACUUAAAAGGGUAUAUGUGUAGCGAUAUUUUGUUUCGACUUGCUAUAUUGGUAUCCUGUCAUCUUUACCUUAUGCUUUACAUACUCAGUACAUUGUCCGUACUGACCCCCCUUUCCUCGGGGGGCUGCGUUUCAUGCCCGCAGGUGUAGACGCACAGUUCGGUGAUCCUCCCGCCUAGGAUAUCUACUCUGCUGAUUGGGAGAGCUCCACUGUUCGGGAGCCCAGUCGUUUUGGUACAUAACUUUUUGUGUAGUCUUUUGCUCAUCGAUGGGUACGGCGGGGCCCUGUCCCGUCGAGUUUCACUACUGUACUCUUAGAGGUCUGUGGACAUUAUGUUGGUUGUAUAUAUAUGUUUUGAAUAAUGGUCUGGACAUGGUUUGUUUGGGAUGUCCGCUUGUACAGGGGCAGCCUUGUCGGCUGCGUACAUCAUUGUGUAUUGUGUAGUGGCAGCCUUGUCGGCAUACGUAUGUUAUUAUGCUUUGAAUAGUGGCGGCCUUGUCGGCUCGUGUAUGCUGUUAUGGUUGAAUGGUUAUAGACUCCUUAUGAGACAGGUCCUCUUAUAUAUAUAUGACGUUGGGGUUGGCUUGAUUUGAUUAAAUUCCAUAUUGUCUUAGUUUCAGUUGGUUAUACUUAGCAGGUUUGUAUGUGGGUGUCCAAAACAGGCGCUAGUCACGGCCCAUCGGGUUGGGUCGUGACAAAGAGUGGUAUCAGAGCGGUUCUUCCUCGGAAGUGUCUACAGACUGUGUCUAGUAGAGUCUUGUUUAUCGGUGUGUUGUGCACCACAUCUAUAAAUAGGAAGCUACAGGACAUUUAGGAUGUCAUUCUUUCUUCUUAUUCUAGAUCGUGCGAUAGAGCUAUAUUAACAGGAUAAUCCCUCUCUAACGAAUCCGUGUGUUUUCAUCUAUGCCUCCAAAGAAAGUGACAGCCGCCCAGAAGGGAAAAUCGGUAGCAGAAGGUACUAUUCAGACCCGGAGAGUUACUAGGGCCCGUGCCCAGUCUAUGCCUGGUAUUAUGCUCCAAUCGGAGAGCUUUGCUACACCCCCACCGCUAGAAGAGCUUAGAGCAACAGAAGCUCCAGUUCGGGGGACACCACCAGCCCCCGAGGCCCCAACAUCUGAACCUCCAGCUCCUCAGUCAGGGGCGGAGGAUAGGGCCAUGAGAGAUGCGGUUCAAUUGCUGACUAGAUUAGUGGCAGAUCAGGCUCGUAGGCAUGGACUAGGAGUUGAUCAUGCGGACAGAUCUGAUAGCUUAAGGGCUCGUGACUUCUUAAGUUGUAAUCCUCCAGAGUUCUUUGGGUCAAGGCCCCAGGAUGAUCCGCAAGAGUUUAUUCGUCAGAUGCAGCGUACAUUGAGGAUAAUCAGGGCUUCGGAGACCGAGUCUGUUGAGUUGGCUACGUAUCGUUUGUGGGAUGUAGCUAUUAAUUGGUAUGAGUCUUGGGAGUUAUCUAGGGGUGAGGGUGCUCCUCCAGCGGUAUGGGAUGAAUUUGUGGAGGCUUUCCAGGGCCACUUCCUGCCUCCAGAGAUGAAGCGAGCUAGAGUCGAUAGAUUCUUGCGUUUGAAGCAAAAUGGCAGGAGCGUUCGAGAGUAUAGCCUCGAGUUUGAUUCAUUGGCUAGGCAUGCGCCUACUAUUGUGGCUGAUAUGGCAGACAGGGUACAUCGUUAUGUGAUGGGAUUGGAUCGUUAUCUGAUUGAUGGUUGUAUGGCAGUGACUCUUCAGCCAGGUAUGGACAUUGCUCGGGUGCAGGCAUAUGCACAAGGGGUAGAGGAUCGGCACCGGGGACGUCAGCCAGAUAGAGAUUAUAAUAGAGGCCAGCAUAAGAGGGCUAGAUCAGCAGGUUAUCCUGACGAGUUUCGAAGCGGGCAGUCUCAGCAGCAUGUUAGAUUUUCUUCCCAGCCAGCACAGAGUGCACCCCCACGUUUCAUGGGUAGGGGAUUCGAUCGUAUGGGAUAUUCGGAAGCUGGUCAGAGCUCUAGGGCGUCAGGGUCACAGAUGGGAAGGAGUUUGAGCAAGUCGAGGCCACCUUUGUGUUCUCGUUGUGGUAAGUCCCAUCCUGGGGAAUGUCGUUAGGCUACAUGUGCGUGUUUUUCUUGCGGCCGUCAGGGCCAUACUAUGAGGGAGUGUCACCUUAGAGGUAGUGCAGGUGGUAUGGCACAACUUACAGGGUCCGUUGCUGGUUCAUCUUCUUCUGUGGCUAUGCACCCUAUGGGGCAGGGUAUUCAGGCGCCAGCAGGCCGUGGUAGAGGACGUGGUGGAGCUUCCAGUUCUAGCGGUCCCUCAAACCGUAUAUAUGCUUUGACUAAUAGGCAAGAUCAGGAGGCGUCACCUAAUGUGAUCACAGGUAUAUUAUCACUAUUCUCCCGAAGUGUGUAUGCAUUGAUAGAUCCAGGUUCCACCUUAUCAUAUAUAUCUCCCUUUGUUGCUAGUAGGAUCGGAAUAGAGUCUGAGUUGAUAGAACCAUUUGAGGUAGCUACACCUGUAGGAGAUUUUGUCAUAGCUACGCGAGUAUAUAGGAAUUGUUCAGUAGUUAUAUAUAGUCGUCGUACCGUAGCAGAUCUAAUAGAGUUAAAUAUGAUUGAGUUUGAUAUUAUCAUGGGCAUGGAUUGGUUGGCUGCUUGUUAUGCUAAUGUUGACUGCAGAGGAAAGAUAGUUCGAUUUCAAUUUCCAGGGGAACCGAUUAUAGAGUAGAAGGGAAGUACAGUAUCGCCGAAAGGUAAGUUCAUUUCAUACCUCAAGGCCGGGAAGAUGGUUAGAAAAGGCUAUAUUUACCAUCUGAUUCGGGUGCAUGACAUAAAGGCAGAGGCACCGACUCUUCAAUCAGUCCUGGUAGUUAAUGAAUUUCCCGAUGUAUUCCCUAAGGAACUUCCAGGCCUUCGUCCAGAAUGGGAGAUAGAGUUUACUAUAGAUGUACUGCCGGAUACCCAGCCUAUAUCUAUACCUUCUUAUAGAAUGGCACCUGCUGAGUUGAAAGAAUUGAAAGAGCAAUUGAGGGAUUUGCUAGAAAAGGGCUUCAUCAGCCUAGUACGUCACCUUGGGGAGCACCGGUACUGUUUGUGAGGAAGAAGGAUGGGUCGUUGCGGAUGUGCAUUGAUUAUAGGCAGCUGAACAAAGUAACAAUAAAGAACAGGUAUCCCCUCCCAAGGAUUGACGAUCUAUUUGACCAGUUGCAGGGUGCAAAGUGUUUUUCAAAGAUAGACUUGCGGUCAGGUUAUCAUCAGGUGUGGGUAAGGGAGGCAGAUAUUCCAAAGACGGCAUUCCGGACCCGAUAUGGAAAUUAUGAGUUUAGAGUGCUGUCUUUUGGGCUGACUAAUGCUCCAGCGGUGUUCAUGGAUUUAAUGAAUCGAGUAUUUAAACCAUUCCUUGAUAUGUUUGUUAUUGUAUUUAUAGAUGAUAUUCUGGUCUAUUCACGUUCAAAAGAAGAGCAUGCAGACCAUUUAAGGACGGUACUUAGGGUGCUUCAGCACCAGAAGUUGUAUGCUAAAUUUUCUAAGAGCGAGUUCUGGUUGACUUCAAUGACAUUCUUGGGGCAUAUUAUUGGAGCUGAUGGUAUUCGGGUAGACACGCAGAAGAUUGAGGCAGUAAAGACUUGGCCCAGACCUACGACACCUACUGAGGUACGCAGCUUUUUGGGGUUAGUAGGAUAUUACAGGAGAUUCGUAGAAAAGUUUGCCUCAAUUUCAGUGCCUUUGACAAGGCUAACUCAAAAGGAAGCCAAGUUCCAGUGGACAGAUGCUUAUGAGCGAAGUUUCCAGCUAUUGAAAGACAAAUUGACUACAGCUCCAGUCCUAACUCUUCCGGAGGGACCAGAUGGCUAUGUUAUUUAUUGUGAUGCUUCGGGUGUUAGGCUAGGAUGUGUAUUGAUGCAGCAUGGCAAAGUUAUAGCCUAUGCCUCCCGACAACUUAGGAAGCAUGAAAAGAACUAUCCUACUCACGAUCUGGAGUUAGCGGUCGUGGUUCAUGCCUUGAAGAUAUGGAGACAUUAUUUAUAUGGUGUCCAUGUGGACAUCUAUAUAGAUCUUAAGAGUCUCCAAUAUAUCUUUAAACAGAAGGAGCUGAACUUACGACAAAGGCGGUGGUUAGAGUUGCUAAAGGAUUAUGAUAUUGAUAUUUUAUAUCAUCCAGGGAAAGCGAAUGUUGUAGCAGAUGCCCUUAGCCGUAAAUCCAUGGGUAGCUUGACAGAUGUACAACUAGAAAUGAGGAAUAUGGUUCGGGAGAUUCAGCGGCUAUCCAGCCUUGGAGUCCGUCUAGCUAAUUCGGAAGAUAGUGGAGUUUCUAUUCGAGAGGUUGCUGAGUCCUCAAUCAUAGAUGAGGUAAAGAGACACCAAUACAAGGACCCUAUUCUGGCACAGUAUAGAGAUGCAGCUCUUCAAAAGGAAAAGACCCCAUUUAAGGUUACACCUGACGGAGUAUUACGAUAUGAAGGCAGAUUGUGUGUACCCGAUACUGUGGGGCUACGACGGCAGGUUAUGAGAGAGGCACACUCUGCCCGUUAUUCUAUUCACCCAGGGUCAACAAAAAUGUAUCAUGACCUCAGAUGCUUAUAUUGGUGGGAUGGCAUGAAAAAGGACAUAGCGGAGUUUGUUGCUCAGUGCCCAAAUUCUCAACAAGUCAAGAUCGAACAUCAAAAGCCUGGUGGAUUAUUACAGGAGAUAGAGAUCCCGACUUGGAAAUGGGAGAUGAUUAAUAUGGACUUCAUUACAGGCUUACCUCGCACUCAACGGAAGUAUGACUCUAUAUGGGUUAUUGUAGAUAGGCUGACGAAAUCGGCCCAUUUUCUUCCAGUCAGGACUACUUAUUCGGCUGAAGAUUAUGCGAGGUUAUAUGUCAGGGAGAUAGUGAGACUUCAUGGGGUUCCCACGUCCAUUAUAUCAGAUAGAGGAGCUCAAUUUACAGCCAACUUUUGGAGAUCCUUUCAGAAGGGAUUGGGGACACAGGUGAACCUUAGCACAACAUUUCACCCUCAGACGGAUGGGCAGGCUGAGCGUACUAUUCAGACACUAGAAGAUAUGUUGGGGGCCUGUAUUAUUGACUUCAAAGGUAGCUGGGAUGACCACUUGCCGCUCAUUGAGUUUGCCUAUAAUAAUAGCUACCAUUCUAGUAUCCAGAUGGCACCGUACGAGGCCUUAUAUGGGAGGAAGUGCAGAUCACCUAUUGGUUGGUUUGAUGUUGGCGAGACUAAGUUAAUAGGCCCGAAUGUGAUUCAGCAAGCUGUUGACAAGGUGAAGCUUAUUCAAGAAAGAUUAUUAGCAGCCCAGAGUCGACAAAAGUCAUAUGCAGAUAGUCGGCAUCGAGAUUUGGAGUUUCAGAUUGGUGACUAGGUAUUCCUGAAGGUAUCACCCAUGAGGGGUGUGAUGAGAUUCGGCAGGAAGGGGAAGCUCAGUCCGAGAUACAUUGGGCCUUAUCAGAUUGUUCGUAGGAUAGGCAAGGUUGCCUAUGAGUUGGAUCUACCAUAUGAUUUGGAGGCGGUUCAUCCAGUCUUCCAUGUAUCGAUGCUACGUAAAUGUAUUGUGAUCCUUCUAGAGUAUUCCCCGUAGAUGAUGUUCAGGUAACAGAGGAGUUGUCAUAUGAGGAGAAACCCGUAGCUAUACUUGAUCGCCAGGUUAGAAGGUUACGUACUAAGGAUGUGGCUUCCAUCAAAGUGUUGUGGCAAAAUAACAAUAGGGAGGAGAUGACUUGGGAAGCGGAAGAUGAAAUGAAGAAUAAGUAUCCUUACUUGUUCCCCGUACCUGCAGGUAAUUCAAUUCCUAGCUUGACUAUAUUGAUAGAUAAUGAGAUUAUGUAGCUGUGAGGCAUCUGUAAGUUACAGAAUGCAGGUUAAUAGGUAUAACUUUUAGAGAGACCUCGCUGGAAUUUGUUUUUGCAAGACGCUAACUUAACAUUCGAAGAUGAAUGUUCCUAAGGGGGGAGGAUGUUAUGCCUCGUAUUUUUUUAUAUGUGCUGCGCAUCGUGAUCUAGUAGACGUAAGUCCGGGGAAUGAGAUUUUAUUUUAAGUUCCAAGUGAUUAAAGAAAUAUUAGGCAAGGAUGUUAUUUCCAAAUGUGAUAUUAAGUAUGAGUUGGCUAAUGUAAGUGCCAUUAACUUUAAGUGAGGGAUUAAUUAGUUGAUAAUUUGGAUUAUUUUAAUCCAAUGGGCCCCACCACUCAUAAUUAAUGGCUGAUUAAUAUUUAAUCCAGUGGGCCCCACCACUCAAGGCAAAAAUUAAAAAGGGAUCAGAUUGUGGGCUGGCCUUAGUGGACAGGUGUAGAGGGGGGCUGCCUCCACUUCAUACUAUUAAAUGAGGUGGAGAAAUCCACUCCAUGCUAAAUAAAGUGGCGAAAUGCAUUGCUGCAUAUCAUCUUCUUCUUCACCACUUCUCUUAGGCAGCCAUGGAAAUGGAGAAACCAACCCUGCAACUCUUGGCCAACAGCUGCAAAUAAUUUGGUUAGUAAUCUCCUUGUUUGGUGUGUUAAUUCUUUAGAAUACACUUGUUAAUUAUCCAUUAAUUUUAAGAAGGGGCGUGACCAGUAGCUUAGGAAGUUUGUUUUAGUUAUUGAAUGUGCUAAGUAUGAAUGGAAACCAUAAUCGGAUUAUUAGUGGUGUCGUGUUGGUGCUUGGGCUGUUUUGAUUAAAGCAAACUGCAGGAAAAUUCUGUUUUGGCAUUAUGUAUAUGUUGAAUGUGAUUAUGAGUAUAUAAUCCAUAGGAUGAGUACAAUAAGGUAGAUGUGUUGCGAAUUAUAAAACGAAUUAUCACUCGAUGUGUCGUUGCUUCGCUGCUAUGGUUGCCGAGACGGAACUGUUUUAAGGAGGGGGCUGUUUAAUAUGAUUCUUUGGGUUAUAUGUGUUAUUGGUAUUGUUGUGGAUAAUUUGGAUUGUUGUCGGAUUGGGACGAAGUAAGGAAAAUAGGGGAGGUGCUGCCAAAUUUUCGUUAGAUUAUUAGCUAUCUUACAAGAAAGUAAAGCACGAUGUUUAUCUAAUUGCGGCACGAUUGUUGCUUGUUAUAGAUUAAUAGCUUGAGCAGUAAAUAUUGGACGUGCGGCUCGAUUAUACGGUAUGUAACGCUGUCCCUUCUUUCUUUGUUUAGCAUGACUUUUAAAAAUAAGUGAAUAAAGGACAGGUUUGAUACUUACCUCUAGAGCGUCUAGGUGACGUAUAUUCUUGCUUCCACAAUCAUUCCUCUAUAUAUCGGCUAUGUCUAAGGCUAUGAUGAUCUCUAAUAUCUAUGGUAGUGCUUGAGAUUUUAUGUUUCCAUAUCGUAUUAAAGGUUCAUAAUCUUGAUAAAACAUUAAUCUUUGGUAAUACUCCUUGCUGGUUCACGUUGAUUGUUCUAUUGAGUUAUAAGAAAUGAUUUUAAUUGCAUAUGGUUGCUCAUAAUAUUCUGCUCGUGCAUAGAGUCAUUUAUCAUUUCACCGAGUCCCGGGCCGGGUAAUGUUCGUGCGGAGUUUCUUGCAUAUGUCACCGAGUUCCUCACUAGAGGGUCGGGUAUGUAUAUUAUAUAUAUAUGAUUGGUGAUGAGGAUGGUUAUGAUGAUGAUGAUGACGGAGAUGACGUGAUGAUUAUUUUGUCGAGCCCCUUACUAGGGAAGCUGGGCACCUUAAAUGUUAAAUAUAUGCAUGAUUUUCACUUAAAAGGGUAUAUGUGUAGCGAUAUUUUGUUUUGACUUGCCAUAUUGGUAUCCUGUCAUCUUUACCUUAUGCUUUACAUACUCAG